rnacentral:lncRNA from 13 species
CUUCUAGGAUACACACUUCAUUCUGACCCUGGGACAAGGAGCCAGUGAUCCAGACAUCUAUAACCACCUGAGCUACACAGGGACCCAGAGAGACCUGCCAGAUUCUCAUUUAUCAGCUAAAGAAACUGAGACACAAGCGUCCCUCCCCUCCAGAGGAUGCAGCAACAGGUGCCAUCCUGGACGCAGAGAGUCGCCCUCAACAGACAACUGAACCUGCCGGCAGCUUGAUUUUGGACUUCCCGGCCUGCAGAACUGUGAGAAAGAGAUUUCCAGUUACAAAUGACUUAGUCUCAGAAAAAGUCUGCUGGCUGCUGAUUUGAAACAUUCAAGGAAGUGUCCUGGAUGCAGCUCGGGCCUUUGACUGAAGUCCAAGACAGCGGCAAGGGGAGUCCCUUGCUGGCUCCUCUGAGCACUGGCCGCUUCGUAGGA